GUUAUAGCUCGGAGAAUAUCUUUGUUCUCCCGGACUUCAAAUCCGGUGGCGGGCGAGCUUAAGUCCGCGGUGGGUUCGAUUCCCACCUACUCCC
rnacentral:tRNA from 1 species